rnacentral:misc_RNA from 1 species
GAGAUCUAAUUGCCCUAACUCUCCCACCAUAUCAAGUUGCCUAAAAAUUGCAACUGUAACUUUCUUCAAGACUUUAACCAUACACAGGACUAUUACCAGCUGAAGGGUGUUGCAGACAAGAACUAUUGCCAAUAAUAGUCAAUCAAUGGUUCAAGACCUCAUUCAGACUCAGUGGGACUAAUCUACCCACUGAAGAUGCAACUUGGGAGGAUAGACCCUUCAUUCAGGCUCAAUUUCCAGAAUUCAAACAUUCUUAGGGACAAGAAUUUUCUCAUGGGAGGGGUAUUGUUACAUGCAAGAGAACCACGUAUACAACUAAGGAGAAUAAGUGAAAUAGACUACGGACUGGCAUAAGUGUGAAAAGGUGGAAAAGUCAACUACUCAUUUGGAGGGAAAAUCUGUUAGAGGCCUGUUAGAAUCCCUUAAUUAGUGUA